AUUGAUUGAGAAAGGCUUGUCUGACUGGGCCCCUUUGAGUCCUCCCUUUACAUUCCUAAAUUUCUGUAAAGGAGGCACUGGCAGCUUUGCCUGGUGAGAGGAGGGGUUGGGGGAAAGGGAGGAAGUUUCUCAGUUUCUGAUUAUGCGCAGAGUUUCCUUGUACUGAGCUUAUGUUCUCCACCCACUACUUAGUAAGAACUCCUUAACAACUUAAAGCUUUAUGCCUGUGAGUACCAGAAAAGUGAUCUGAGUAUUUAUUGAGCAGGAAGAACAAACUGCUUGCUCCAGGCAGGGAGAAAGCUUAUGGAAAUGAUAUUAGACCUUCAGCAAAGUGCACAGCUGCAUCAUACAGAAGCUGAGACUCAAACUGACAGGCAAAUAAGCCAGAUCACGGAAGGGGCCUCUGUGUGGCAGCUCUGAGCUACCAAGUGUUGGACAACUAGGCAAAAAGUGCAGUGGAACAGGGCAGAAAAUAGCACACUAACUUCAGACAACUGUUGCUUAUUCAUGGACUGGAAAGAAACAUUUUCCACAGAUGUCAGCAUCUGUGUGCUGUGAUGCUCCACUCUGAGUGAUGCCAGAUUCAGCACUGAGCAGUGCUGGAAAAGGAGAGUGGCUUCUCAAAACGAGGUGUACAGCUGCCAUUCCAGGUGUUGGCUGCUCCACAAGCUGCAGAGCAAGAGAGGCCAACUUGAAGAGCAUGCAUAUUGUGAUACCCUCAGUGGUACCCAUUCUUGGAGAGUUUGGUAAAUAUUUCCAUAACCUGAUGUUAAAAGACACUACAGAAAAUGAGGGAAUUGGAAUUUACCUUUGGAAAAGACUCUGUCCAUUGAUGGAUAUGGAAAUGUGCCUUCUUAAUAACUGAAUUAGAUACCGGA
rnacentral:lncRNA from 1 species